CAACUCCUUCCUCGUCCUUUUUCAGUGUUAUUGGCAGUAGUCAAACUAAACCUGAAUUUGACAGAGAAAUUACUGACAAUACUCUUUGUUCUUCCCAAAUCCCCAUCAUCUCUCUCAUAUCUCCCCAUCCUUUCUCUCUCUCUCAUUUUCUUCUCUCUCUUUUGUGUCCUUUCAUCCCCAUGCUCUAGCACCGCCAACAACCGAGCUUUGCCACCAUAUUCUCUCUACAGACUUUUCUUGGUGCUGGUUUCUGCAUGGUGAUCACUUCUAGCUAGAUAAAUUUAAGCCUCACAUUCCAUUGAUUGCAUUCGAGCUAGAGUAAGAGGCAGAUGGAGAUCGAUUUGGUGGAAGUGGAUCCAGUCACUGUUUCUCUAGAUAGAAAACUGGCCUCUUUGCCCGAUGAGCUAAUAAACCCAGUGAUUUUAAUGUUCGGUUCGACAAAGGAACUGAGUCACCAUAUGUACCAAAGUUUGUAUCCAUUGGUCCAAACUAUAGAGAUAAAGAAGAGCUCAAAUAUAUGGAAAACAUCAAACUGCACUACUUGAAAAAACUCCUCUCUGAUAAUAAUCAGUUCUCUGUUGAUAAGUAUGUGAGGGCUAUGAGACUUGAAAGUCUUCCUACAUGGUACGCAAAACCAGUCAGCUUAGAUGCACACAUAGAGAUGAUGGUGGUUGAUGGGCUCUUUAUAAUUGAGUUGUUUAGGCGCGAAGGUGAUGAUUUCCAGGGACAACGUAAUCUCGACAUACUUUCCCCUGGUAUAUAUUAUCACAUGCCAGUUGACC